rnacentral:rRNA from 1 species
UGGCGACCGGCGCACGGGUGAGCAACACGUAUCCAACCUGCCGAUGACUCGGGGAUAGCCUUUCGAAAGAAAGAUUAAUACCCGAUGGCAUAGUUCUUCCGCAUGGUAGAACUAUUAAAGAAUUUCGGUCAUCGAUGGGGAUGCGUUCCAUUAGGUUGUUGGCGGGGUAACGGCCCACCAAGCCUUCGAUGGAUAGGGGUUCUGAGAGGAAGGUCCCCCACAUUGGAACUGAGACACGGUCCAA